rnacentral:rRNA from 1 species
CUCGAUGAGUAGGGCGGGACACGUGGUAUCCUGUCUGAAUAUGGGGGGACCAUCCUCCAAGGCUAAAUACUCCUGACUGACCGAUAGUGAACCAGUACCGUGAGGGAAAGGCGAAAAGAACCCCGGCGAGGGGAGUGAAAAAGAACCUGAAACCGUGUACGUACAAGCAGUGGGAGCACAGAGCAAUCUGUGUGACUGCGUACCUUUUGUAUAAUGGGUCAGCGACUUAUAUUCUGUAGCAAGGUUAACCGAAUAGGGGAGCCGAAGGGAAACCGAGUCUUAACCGGGCGUUAAGUUGCAGGGUAUAGACCCGAAACCCGGUGAUCUAGCCAUGGGCAGGUUGAAGGUUGGGUAACACUAACUGGAGGACCGAACCGACUAAUGUUGAAAAAUUAGCGGAUGACUUGUGGCUGGGGGUGAAAGGCCAAUCAAACCGGGAGAUAGCUGGUUCUCCCCGAAAGCUAUUUAGGUAGCGCCUCGUGAAUUCAUCUCCGGGGGUAGAGCACUGUUUCGGCAAGGGGGUCAUCCCGACUUACCAACCCGAUGCAAACUGCGAAUACCGGAGAAUGUUAUCACGGGAGACACACGGCGGGUGCUAACGUCCGUCGUGAAGAGGGAAACAACCCAGACCGCCAGCUAAGGUCCCAAAGUCAUGGUUAAGUGGGAAACGAUGUGGGAAGGCCCAGACAGCCAGGAUGUUGGCUUAGAAGCAGCCAUCAUUUAAAGAAAGCGUAAUAGCUCACUGGUCGAGUCGGCCUGCGCGGAAGAUGUAACGGGGCUAAACCAUGCACCGAAGCUGCGGCAGCGACACUGUGUGUUGUUGGGUAGGGGAGCGUUCUGUAAGCCUGUGAAGGUGUGCUGUGAGGCAUGCUGGAGGUAUCAGAAGUGCGAAUGCUGACAUAAGUAACGAUAAAGCGGGUGAAAAGCCCGCUCGCCGGAAGACCAAGGGUUCCUGUCCAACGUUAAUCGGGGCAGGGUGAGUCGACCCCUAAGGCGAGGCCGAAAGGCGUAGUCGAUGGGAAACAGGUUAAUAUUCCUGUACUUGGUGUUACUGCGAAGGGGGGACGGAGAAGGCUAUGUUGGCCGGGCGACGGUUGUCCCGGUUUAAGCGUGUAGGCUGGUUUUCCAGGCAAAUCCGGAAAAUCAAGGCUGAGGCGUGAUGACGAGGCACUACGGUGCUGAAGCAACAAAUGCCCUGCUUCCAGGAAAAGCCUCUAAGCAUCAGGUAACAUCAAAUCGUACCCCAAACCGACACAGGUGGUCAGGUAGAGAAUACCAAGGCGCUUGAGAGAACUCGGGUGAAGGAACUAGGCAAAAUGGUGCCGUAACUUCGGGAGAAGGCACGCUGAUAUGUAGGUGAAGUCCCUCGCGGAUGGAGCUGAAAUCAGUCGAAGAUACCAGCUGGCUGCAACUGUUUAUUAAAAACACAGCACUGUGCAAACACGAAAGUGGACGUAUACGGUGUGACGCCUGCCCGGUGCCGGAAGGUUAAUUGAUGGGGUCAGCGCAAGCGAAGCUCUUGAUCGAAGCCCCGGUAAACGGCGGCCGUAACUAUAACGGUCCUAAGGUAGCGAAAUUCCUUGUCGGGUAAGUUCCGACCUGCACGAAUGGCGUAAUGAUGGCCAGGCUGUCUCCACCCGAGACUCAGUGAAAUUGAACUCGCUGUGAAGAUGCAGUGUACCCGCGGCAAGACGGAAAGACCCCGUGAACCUUUACUAUAGCUUGACACUGAACAUUGAGCCUUGAUGUGUAGGAUAGGUGGGAGGCUUUGAAGUGUGGACGCCAGUCUGCAUGGAGCCGACCUUGAAAUACCACCCUUUAAUGUUUGAUGUUCUAACGUGGACCCGUGAUCCGGGUUGCGGACAGUGUCUGGUGGGUAGUUUGACUGGGGCGGUCUCCUCCUAAAGAGUAACGGAGGAGCACGAAGGUUGGCUAAUCCUGGUCGGACAUCAGGAGGUUAGUGCAAUGGCAUAAGCCAGCUUGACUGCGAGCGUGACGGCGCGAGCAGGUGCGAAAGCAGGUCAUAGUGAUCCGGUGGUUCUGAAUGGAAGGGCCAUCGCUCAACGGAUAAAAGGUACUCCGGGGAUAACAGGCUGAUACCGCCCAAGAGUUCAUAUCGACGGCGGUGUUUGGCACCUCGAUGUCGGCUCAUCACAUCCUGGGGCUGAAGUAGGUCCCAAGGGUAUGGCUGUUCGCCAUUUAAAGUGGUACGCGAGCUGGGUUUAGAACGUCGUGAGACAGUUCGGUCCCUAUCUGCCGUGGGCGCUGGAGAACUGAGGGGGGCUGCUCCUAGUACGAGAGGACCGGAGUGGACGCAUCACUGGUGUUCGGGUUGUCAUGCCAAUGGCACUGCCCGGUAGCUAAAUGCGGAAGAGAUAAGUGCUGAAAGCAUCUAAGCACGAAACUUGCCCCGAGAUGAGUUCUCCCUGACCCUUUAAGGGUCCUGAAGGAACGUUGAAGACGACGACGUUGAUAGGCCGGGUGUGUAAGCGCAGCGAUGCGUUGAGCUAACCGGUACUAAUGAACCGUGAGGCUUAACCUUACAACGCCGAAGGUGUUU